rnacentral:rRNA from 1 species
GCUUGCUGUUUCGCUGACGAGUGGCGGACGGGUGAGUAAUGUCUGGGAAACUGCCUGAUGGAGGGGGAUAACUACUGGAAACGGUAGCUAAUACCGCAUAACGUCGCAAGACCAAAGAGGGGGACCUUCGGGCCUCUUGCCAUCGGAUGUGCCCAGAUGGGAUUAGCUAGUAGGUGGGGUAACGGCUCACCUAGGCGACGAUCCCUAGCUGGUCUGAGAGGAUGACCAGCCACACUGGAACUGAGACACGGUCCAGACUCCUACGGGAGGCAGCAGUGGGGAAUAUUGCACAAUGGGCGCAAGCCUGAUGCAGCCAUGCCGCGUGUAUGAAGAAGGCCUUCGGGUUGUAAAGUACUUUCAGCGGGGAGGAAGGGAGUAAAGUUAAUACCUUUGCUCAUUGACGUUACCCGCAGAAGAAGCACCGGC